rnacentral:rRNA from 1 species
GAUGAACGCUGGCGGCGUGCCUAAUACAUGCAAGUCGAGCGAACAGACGAGGAUCUUGCUGCUCGGACGUGAGCGGCGGGCGUGUGAGUAACACGUGUAUCACCUACCUAUAAGACUGGUAUAACUUCGGGAAACCGGAGCUAAUACCGGAUAAUAUAUUGAACCGCGUGGUUCAAUGGUGAGAGACGGCGGUGCUGGCACUUAUAGAUGGAUCCGCGCCGCAUGAGCUAGUUGGUAUGGUAACGGCUUACCAAGGCAAGUAUGCGUAGCCGACCUGAGAGGGUGAUCGGCCACACUGGAACUGAGACACGGUCCAGACUACUACGGGAGGCAGCAGUAGGGAAUCUUCCGCAAUGGGCGAAAGCCUGACGGAGCAACGGCGAGUGAGUGAUGAAGGUCCCCGGAUCGUAAAACUGUGUUAUUAGGGAAGAACAAAUGUGUCCGUAACUAUGCAGGUCUUGACGGUAACUAAUCAGAAAGCCACGGCUAACUACGUG